rnacentral:SRP_RNA from 2 species
GCCGGGCAUGGUGGCGCAUGCCUGUAAUCCCAGCUACUCAGGAGGCUGAGGCAGGAGAAUUGCUUGAACCCGGGAGGUGGAGGUUGCAGUGAGCCAAGAUUGCGCCACUGCACUCCAGCCUGGGCAACAAGAGCAAAACUCUGUCUCAA